ACUCAAAGGAAUUGACGGGGGCCCGCACAAGCGGUGGAGCAUGUUGUUUAAUACGUCACUAACCGUAGAACCUUACCAGGGUUUGACAUGGCGAGACAUCCUAUGAAAGUAGGCUUCCCCGCAAGGGGACUCGCACACAGGUGUUGCAUGGCUGUCGUCAGCUCGUGUCGUGAGAUGUUGGGUUAAGUCCCGCAACGAGCGCAACCCUCAUCCCAUGUUGCCAGCGAGUAAAGUCGGGAACUCUUGGGAAACUGCCGGGGUAACUCGGAGGAAGGUGAGGAUGACGUCAAGUCAGCAUGGCCCUUACAUCCUGGGCUACAAACAUGCUACAAUGGACGGUAAACAGAGGGAUCCGAGACCGCGAGGUGGAGGCAAUCUCAGAAAUCCGUUCUCAGUUCGGAUUGCAGGCUGCAACUCGCCUGCAUGAAGCCGGAAUCGCUAGUAAACGCAGGUCAGCUAAACUGCGUUGAAUACGUUCCCGGGCCUUGUACACACCGCCCGU
rnacentral:rRNA from 1 species